GCACCCGUAGCUCAGUGGAUUAGAGUACUUGGCUUCGAACCAAGUGGUCGCUGGUUCGAAUCCAGCCGGGUGCACCA
rnacentral:tRNA from 1 species